ACUCGGUUCUGUUUGAUAAGGAUGAUGAUGCAUGUCUUUCCUGUUUCGGUUUAGUGAGGGAGGUCACUGAUUAUGAUCCAAGACCAACAGGAAGUGUGAACACUGAGAGUGUGACAUACAGAUUUGGUACCAUCCUUG